UACCAGCACCCCGAGUGGUCGGGACGUUUAUUGGGCCUAAAGCAUCCGUAGCCGGUUCUACAAGUCUUCCGUUAAAUCCACCUGCUUAACAGAUGGGCUGCGGAAGAUACUAUGGAGCUAGGAGGCGGGAGAGGCAAGCGGUACUCGAUGGGUAGGGGUAAAAUCCGUUGAUCCAUUGAAGAACACCAGUGGCGAAGGCGGCUCACUGGACCGGUAUUGACGCUGAGGUGCGAAAGCGUGGGGAGCAAACAGG
rnacentral:rRNA from 1 species